rnacentral:rRNA from 1 species
UACGUAGGCAGCGAGCGUUGUUCGGAGUUACUGGCGUAAAGGGUGUGUAGGCGGUUUUCUAAGUUUGGUGUGAAAUCUCCCGGCUCAACCGGGAGGGUGCGCCGAAAACUGGGAGACUAGAGUGCGGGAUGGGAGAGUAGAAUUCCUGGUGUAGCGGUGAAAUGCGUAGAUAUCAGGAGGAAUACCGGUGGUGUAGACGGCUCUCUGGACCGCCACUG